CCCUUAGAUGUUCUGGGCCGCACGCGUGCUACACUGAGUGGAUCAGCGGGUCAGGUUGCGCGAAAGUGUUUCCUGAUCUUGAAAUCCGCUCGUGAUGGGGAUUGACGGUUGCAAUUUUCCGUCAUGAACGAGGAAUACCUUGUAAGCGCGGGUCAUCAUCCCGCGCUGAAUACGUCCCUGCCCUUUGUACACACCGCCCGUCGCUCCUACCGAUUGAGUGGUCCGGUGAGGCUUUGGGAUCUGAGCAAAAAGAGCGUUUCGCUCGUUUGGCUCGGAAAACUCAGUCGAACCUUAUCAUUUAGAGGAAGGAGAAGUCGUAACA
rnacentral:rRNA from 1 species